AUACGGAGGGUGCGAGCGUUAAUCGGAAUUACUGGGCGUAAAGCGCGCGUAGGCGGCUAAUUAAGUCAAAUGUGAAAUCCCCGAGCUUAACUUGGGAAUUGCAUUCGAUACUGGUUAGCUAGAGUGUGGGAGAGGAUGGUAGAAUUCCAGGUGUAGCGGUGAAAUGCGUAGAGAUCUGGAGGAAUACCGAUGGCGAAGGCAGCCAUCUGGCCUAACACUGACGCUGAGGUGCGAAAGCAUGGGGAGCAAACAGGAUUAGAAACCCCAGUAGUCC
rnacentral:rRNA from 1 species